rnacentral:rRNA from 1 species
UACGUAGGGUGCGAGCGUUGCCCGGAUUUAUUGGGCGUAAAGAGCUCGUAGGCGGUUUGUCGCGUCUGCUGUGAAAACCCGAGGCUCAACCUCGGGCCUGCAGUGGGGUACGGGCAGACUAGAGUGCGGUAGGGGAGAUUGGAAUUCCUGGUGUAGCGGUGAAAUGCGUAGAGAUCAGGAGGAACACCCGUGGCGAAGGCGGCCCC